rnacentral:snRNA from 1 species
AUAUUCUGGUUUCUCAUCAGAUCAUAUAAAUCUUUCGCCUUUUACUAAAGAUUUUCAUGGAGAAGAACAUGCAUGAGUUUUGCAUGGAUGUGUUUUAUCAGUGGUUGGAUAACAGAA